UGGGGAAUAUUGGACAAUGGGGGCAACCCUGAUCCAGCCAUGCCGCGUGAGUGAUGAAGGCCUUAGGGUUGUAAAGCUCUUUCGCCGGUGAAGAUAAUGACGGUAACCGGUAAAGAAGCCCCGGCUAACUUCGUGCCAGCAGCCGCGGUAAUACGAAGGGGGCUAGCGUUGUUCGGAAUUACUGGGCGUAAAGCGCGCGUAGGCGGACUUUUAAGUCAGGGGUGAAAUCCCGGGGCUCAACCUCGGAAUUGCCUUUGAUACUGGUAGACUAGAGUGCGGGAGAGGGGAGUGGAACUCCGAGAGGAGAGGUGAAAUUCGUAGAUAUUCGGAAGAACACCAGUGGCGAAGGCGGCUCACUGGCACGGUACUGACGCUGAGGUGCGAAAGCGUGGGGAGCAAACAGGAUUAGAUACCCCGGUAGUCC
rnacentral:rRNA from 1 species